AGAGCUUGUUAGGCAGUCGCUGUUUCGCAUCCUUUAUUGGGCGCGAGAUGGAGGAAAGUCCGGGCUCCACAGGGCAAAGUGCCAGGUAACGCCUGGGCGGCGCGAGUCGACGGAAAGUGCAACAGAAAGUAUACCGCCUAAGUCUGCUUCGGCAGACCGGUAAGGUUGAAAUGGUGCGGUAAGAGCGCACCGCAUGGCUGGUAACAGUCCAUGGCGAUGGAAAACCCCACUCGGAGCAAGACCAAAUAGGGACCCAAUGGCGUGGCCCACGCUGGGUCCGGGUAGGUCGCUAGAGGUGCAUGGCGACAUGCAUCCCAGAUGAAUGACUGUCCACGACAGAACCCGGCUUACAGACAAGCUCUUCUU
rnacentral:RNase_P_RNA from 19 species